ensembl:lncRNA
CUCACAUGCACAUGCAUACACACACACACACACACACACAGAGAGAGAGAGAGAGAGAGAGAGAGAGAGAGAGAGAGAGAGAGAUGAGAUAGUCAAAGGCUGAGCCAAUUUCAUGUCUGUGUUUGGGAUGUCCUUGGCUACUGUGGUGACUAAAGAGCAUUUGUCAUUUGCUAAGUUAGUAUGAAGAGUCUGUGAAGGCUUAAGAUACAGUCACUCCUUCACCACCCACAUCACCUAGAAUUUUCAGCUCUUAGAGAAACAUUAUAGUGGGAAUCCAGAAAUAAAAUCUGGACAAGAGUUGUGCAAAAACUAGAUGUAGGUAGCUGUAGGUCUUUUCUGAACUUCAAGAAAACAUGAGAUUCUCAGAAAAUGAAACGACGGGGGCCCCCUUUCCUUUGCAUACUAGCAGACAGAGUCCUCACCAUCUGCUGCUGUAAGCCUGCCACUUGUCUCUACUUGGCAGCAGAGUCUAGAAUAAGCACUGUUGACCUUCAUCAAACCUUUUUAUUCACAAUACUCAGGAACUUCUAACUCUCUUGCCCUUGUCUCCUCUGGACAUGGAGGUGCUUCAAGGACAACCUGUAGCCUUGGAGGGGUGGGUUUUAAUUUGAAAUAGACCAGAAAUGUAUGAAUGAGUGUCUGCUGGUUUGCAUUUUAUUUGCUGUCUUGUGUUUCCAGCAGCCAUUUCUGGUUGUCCUGGUUACUCCAGUGACUUUGCUCUGGCCCUGUGUGGUCACUCAAAAGAACUGCUCAUAAGAAGACAGAUGGAGUCCCAGACCUCACACCUGGUACCUAUCUAGAGGAUGGGGAGAAAAUGCUGUCAAUCAGAUCCCCAAGGGACUUCACUGAACUGAAAGAUUCCUGGGAGGUGGCAGUAAUGGGUCACUGAUGACACCUGCUGAUCUUCAAAGAGAGUAGGAUUGGAAUGCUUCAUGUUUGCAGUUUCAGCCCUGGGCCAAGACUUUUUUAUUUCAUAGUUUUGGAAGCAUAGCAAUCUAAUUAAUACAGCUGUCUGGAAGUUAUGCAUGAAGAAAUACUUCACUGGUCCUUGAAGACUUGUGCCAGAAUCUCAACCCAGUCACGAGAACGUAGAGGCACAAGGACACCCUGUGGGGACCUACUGCUGGGCCAGCUGGGCUGGUCAGCCCACAUCUCCUUACUUCUCAGCCCAGUAGUUUCAAAGACUUAUCUACUUCUUUGGUUAAAAAGUCUUAACUCCUGGACAAAGCCCCACUACUUUCUAUACUGGCUUUCUCUUUAUAAUAAAGCUCCUUGUUGAAUUUACUCUCCAUUAUUUGUGAAAUUCUCUCUUUGAGUUUGUAACACCAAGGACCUGAAAUAUCACUGAUUCUGUAGACGUUUUAGUGACUGUGAGACCAUGACCACUGAGUUAAGCCCACUUGAGACUAGAAAGUCUCUGUCAUACUUAGGGACCACCAUUUUCCCACUUCACUUGGGCAUUAGUGCUCCUGGUCCUUAAGGCUUUGGACUCUGGCUGGGAUUUACAACACCAAACCUACAUUUUCUUAACUUUCAUUGUUUGGAUGGGACUGUAUUGCUGGCUUACACAGCACCAGCUUGGAAAGAACAGAUCAUGGGACUUUCGUGCUACCAUCAUUUUGUGCGUCAGUUUCCCACAGUAACCCUUUCCUUCUACGUCUAGGCACCAUAUUGAUUCUAUUUCCUUGGAGACUCUUGACUAACCAGGAUUUGUAGAAGGCAGUUUGUGUGAUGUUGUGACCGAUUUGGUGGAAAUGACAAAGUGAGGGCUAAAAUUGUGACAGAAUGGAUAAGGAAAUUGGAAUAGACUCGACAGGUAUUUAGGGCCUCGAACUGGCUCUACCUAAUGACAAAGAGGUUAAAUAUGGGAAUCAUGGAGAUAAUUAUCAAUAGAAUAAUCCUUAGCUAUUUGGAUGGAGUCCUUGUGUGAAUGAUGGGAUGAGGACACGGAAGACUAGAUCUGGUGGGUCGUGGGGAUGAGGGGAUGGGAUAAGUGUCAGUGUGGGUACGUUUGCCUUGAAAGUAGAUAGGCAACUGGAGAUGAGCAUAAAAUCUUGUAAAAAUUUCAGAGCUAGAGUUACUGAAAUAGAAAAUGUUUGCAGAGAGGUAGGUGUGGCUGAAGCAUGACACCUGAGAACUCUCCCAAAGGAAUUCGAGUGAGAAGAUGGGAGAGUCAAGGCCUGAGCCUUUGUGAGAGUGAAUGAGGAGUAGGUUCCUGAGGACUAGCAGUGAUGCCAUGCG